GACGAACGCUGGCGGCGUGCUUAACACAUGCAAGUCGAACGGAAAGGCCCUGCUUUUGUGGGGUGCUCGAGUGGCGAACGGGUGAGUAACACGUGAGUAACCUGCCCUUGACUUUGGGAUAACUUCAGGAAACUGGGGCUAAUACCGGAUAGGAGCUCCCGCUGCAUGGUGGGGGUUGGAAAGUUUCGGCGGUUGGGGAUGGACUCGCGGCUUAUCAGCUUGUUGGUGGGGUAGUGGCUUACCAAGGCUUUGACGGGUAGCCGGCCUGGGAGGGUGACCGGCCACAUUGGGACUGAGAUACGGCCCAGACUCCUACGGGAGGCAGCAGUGGGGAAUAUUGCACAACAGGCGGAAGCCUGAUGCAGCAACGCCGCGUGCGGGAUGACGGCCUUCGGGUGGUAAACCGCUUUCGCCGGUGACGAAGCGUGAGUGACGGUAAUGAGUAAAGAAGCACCGGCUAACUACGUG
rnacentral:rRNA from 1 species